GUCUACGGCCAUACCACCCUGAACGCGCCCGAUCUUGUCUGAUCUCGGAAGCUAAGCAGGGUCAGGCCUGGUUAGUACUUGGAUGGGAGAAAGGAAACACAAAUAGAAUGGAUGUGGAUG
rnacentral:rRNA from 1 species